GCAAACAGCAGAUUCACAGGAUCGGAAGACACUGAGGGGAGUCUGUGCUUGUGUGGUUGUUGCUAUGGAGUUCUGAGUGGUUGUCAGGUCGUUGCUAUGUUCUGAGUGGUUGUCAGGUUGUUGCUAAGAAGUUGUAAGUGGUUGUUGGGUUGUUGCUAUGGAGUUCUGAGUGGUUGUCAGGUCGUUACUAUGUUCUGAGUGGUUGUCAGGUUGUUGCUAAGAAGUUGUGAGUGGUUGUUGGGUUGUUGCUAUGGAGUUCUGAGUGGUUGUCAGGUCGUUGCUAUGGAGUUCUGAGUGGUUGUCAGGUCGUUGCUAUGUUCUGAGUGGUUGUCAGGUUGUUGCUAAGAAGUUGUGAGUGGUUGUUGGGUUGUUGCUAUGGAGUUCUGAGUGGUUGUCAGGUUGUUGCUAUGGAGUUCUGAGUGGUUGUCAGGUUGUUGCUAUGGAGUUCUGAGUGGUUGUCAGGUCGUUGAAUUCUGAGUGGUUGUCAGGUUGUUGCUAAGUUCUGAGUUUUUGUCAGGCUGUUGCUAAGGAGUUGUGAGUGGUUGUUGGGUUGUUGCUAUGGAGUUCUGAGUGGUUGUCAGGUCGUUGAAUUCUGAGUGGUUGUCAGGUUGUUGCUAUGGAGUUCUGAGUGGUUGUCAGGUCGUUGCUAUGGAGUUCUGAGUGGUUGUCAGGUCGUUGUUAUGUUCUGAGUGGUUGUCAGGUCAAUGCUAUGGAGUUCUGAGUGGUUGUCAGGUCGUUGCUAUGGAGUUCUGAGUGGUUGUCAGGUCGUUGCUAAGAAGUUGUGAGUGGUUGUUGGGUUGUUGCUAUGGAGUUCUGAGUGGUUGUCAGGUCGUUGCUAUGGAGUUCUGAGUGGUUGUCAGGUCGUUGCUAUGUUCUGAGUGGUUGUCAGGUCGUUGCUAUGUUCUGAGUGGUUGUCAGGUUGUUGCUAAGAAGUUGUGAGUGGUUGUUGGGUUGUUGCUAUGGAGUUCUGAGUGGUUGUCAGGUUGUUGCUAUGGAGUUCUGAGUGGUUGUCAGGUUGUUGCUAUGGAGUUCUGAGUGGUUGUCAGGUCGUUGAAUUCUGAGUGGUUGUCAGGUUGUUGCUAAGUUCUGAGUUUUUGUCAGGCUGUUGCUAAGGAGUUGUGAGUGGUUGUUGGGUUGUUGCUAUGGAGUUCUGAGUGGUUGUCAGGUCGUUGAAUUCUGAGUGGUUGUCAGGUUGUUGCUAUGGAGUUCUGAGUGGUUGUCAGGUCGUUGCUAUGGAGUUCUGAGUGGUUGUCAGGUCGUUGUUAUGUUCUGAGUGGUUGUCAGGUCAAUGCUAUGGAGUUCUGAGUGGUUGUCAGGUCGUUGCUAUGGAGUUCUGAGUGGUUGUCAGGUCGUUGCUAAGAAGUUGUGAGUGGUUGUUGGGUUGUUGCUAUGGAGUUCUGAGUGGUUGUCAGGUCGUUGCUAUGGAGUUCUGAGUGGUUGUCAGGUCAUUGCUAUGGAGUUGUGAGUUGUUGUCAAGUCAUUGAAUUCUGAGUGGUUGUCAGGUUGUUGCUAAGUUCUGAGUGGUUGUCAGGUCGUUGCUAAAGAGUUGUGAGUGGUUGUCAGGUUGUUGUUGUUAAGGAGUUCUGAGUGGUUGUCAGGUCGUUGCUAUGGAGUUGUGAGUGGUUGUCAGGUCGUUGCUAUGGAGUUCUGAGUGGUUGUCAGGUUGUUGCUAAGUUUUGAGUGGUUGUCAGGUCGUUGCUAUGGAGUUCUGAGUGGUUGUCAGGUUGUUGCUAAGGAGUUCUGAGUGGUUGUCAGGUUGUUGUUGUUAAGGAGCUCUGAGUGGUUGUCAGGUCGUUGCUAUGGAGUUCUGAGUGGUUGUCAGGUCGUUGCUAUGCAGUUCUUUUGUAAUUUUCAAAUUUUGAAAGUAUUUAACAAUUCUGAACUAUUUUAACAUGUAAUUACUCAUGAUAUGUGAUGUAUUGUUUAAUCAG